GUACACAAAAAUGCACAUAUUGUGAGCUCGAUGAGUAGGGCGGGACACGUGGUAUCCUGUCUGAAUAUGGGGGGACCAUCCUCCAAGGCUAAAUACUCCUGACUGACCGAUAGUGAACCAGUACCGUGAGGGAAAGGCGAAAAGAACCCCGGCGAGGGGAGUGAAAAAGAACCUGAAACCGUGUACGUACAAGCAGUGGGAGCCUCUUUAUGGGGUGACUGCGUACCUUUUGUAUAAUGGGUCAGCGACUUAUAUUCUGUAGCAAGGUUAACCGAAUAGGGGAGCCGAAGGGAAACCGAGUCUUAACUGGGCGUUAAGUUGCAGGGUAUAGACCCGAAACCCGGUGAUCUAGCCAUGGGCAGGUUGAAGGUUGGGUAACACUAACUGGAGGACCGAACCGACUAAUGUUGAAAAAUUAGCGGAUGACUUGUGGCUGGGGGUGAAAGGCCAAUCAAACCGGGAGAUAGCUGGUUCUCCCCGAAAGCUAUUUAGGUAGCGCCUCGUGAAUUCAUCUCCGGGGGUAGAGCACUGUUUCGGCAAGGGGGUCAUCCCGACUUACCAACCCGAUGCAAACUGCGAAUACCGGAGAAUGUUAUCACGGGAGACACACGGCGGGUGCUAACGUCCGUCGUGAAGAGGGAAACAACCCAGACCGCCAGCUAAGGUCCCAAAGUCAUGGUUAAGUGGGAAACGAUGUGGGAAGGCCCAGACAGCCAGGAUGUUGGCUUAGAAGCAGCCAUCAUUUAAAGAAAGCGUAAUAGCUCACUGGUCGAGUCGGCCUGCGCGGAAGAUGUAACGGGGCUAAACCAUGCACCGAAGCUGCGGCAGCGACACUAUGUGUUGUUGGGUAGGGGAGCGUUCUGUAAGCCUGUGAAGGUGGCCUGUGAGGGUUGCUGGAGGUAUCAGAAGUGCGAAUGCUGACAUAAGUAACGAUAAAGCGGGUGAAAAGCCCGCUCGCCGGAAGACCAAGGGUUCCUGUCCAACGUUAAUCGGGGCAGGGUGAGUCGACCCCUAAGGCGAGGCCGAAAGGCGUAGUCGAUGGGAAACAGGUUAAUAUUCCUGUACUUGGUGUUACUGCGAAGGGGGGACGGAGAAGGCUAUGUUGGCCGGGCGACGGUUGUCCCGGUUUAAGCGUGUAGGCUGGUUUUCCAGGCAAAUCCGGAAAACCAAGGCUGAGGCGUGAUGACGAGGCACUACGGUGCUGAAGCGACAAAUGCCCUGCUUCCAGGAAAAGCCUCUAAGCAUCAGGUAACAUCAAAUCGUACCCCAAACCGACACAGGUGGUCAGGUAGAGAAUACCAAGGCGCUUGAGAGAACUCGGGUGAAGGAACUAGGCAAAAUGGUGCCGUAACUUCGGGAGAAGGCACGCUGAUAUGUAGGUGAAGCGACUUGCUCGUGGAGCUGAAAUCAGUCGAAGAUACCAGCUGGCUGCAACUGUUUAUUAAAAACACAGCACUGUGCAAACACGAAAGUGGACGUAUACGGUGUGACGCCUGCCCGGUGCCGGAAGGUUAAUUGAUGGGGUUAGCGGUAACGCGAAGCUCUUGAUCGAAGCCCCGGUAAACGGCGGCCGUAACUAUAACGGUCCUAAGGUAGCGAAAUUCCUUGUCGGGUAAGUUCCGACCUGCACGAAUGGCGUAAUGAUGGCCAGGCUGUCUCCACCCGAGACUCAGUGAAAUUGAACUCGCUGUGAAGAUGCAGUGUACCCGCGGCAAGACGGAAAGACCCCGUGAACCUUUACUAUAGCUUGACACUGAACAUUGAGCCUUGAUGUGUAGGAUAGGUGGGAGGCUUUGAAGUGUGGACGCCAGUCUGCAUGGAGCCGACCUUGAAAUACCACCCUUUAAUGUUUGAUGUUCUAACGUUGGCCCGUAAUCCGGGUUGCGGACAGUGUCUGGUGGGUAGUUUGACUGGGGCGGUCUCCUCCUAAAGAGUAACGGAGGAGCACGAAGGUUGGCUAAUCCUGGUCGGACAUCAGGAGGUUAGUGCAAUGGCAUAAGCCAGCUUGACUGCGAGCGUGACGGCGCGAGCAGGUGCGAAAGCAGGUCAUAGUGAUCCGGUGGUUCUGAAUGGAAGGGCCAUCGCUCAACGGAUAAAAGGUACUCCGGGGAUAACAGGCUGAUACCGCCCAAGAGUUCAUAUCGACGGCGGUGUUUGGCACCUCGAUGUCGGCUCAU
rnacentral:rRNA from 1 species